UACAGAGGGGGCAAGCGUUGUUCGGAAUUACUGGGCGUAAAGGGCGCGUAGGCGGCCUUCUAAGUCGAACGUGAAAUCCCCGGGCUCAACCCGGGAACUGCGUCCGAUACUGGAAGGCUUGAAUCCGGGGGAGGGAUGUGGAAUUCCAGGUGUAGCGGUGAAAUGCGUAGAUAUCUGGAAGAACACCCGUGGCGAAAGCGGCUCUCUGGAACGGUACUGACGCUGAGACGCGAAAGCGUGGGGAGCGAACAGG
rnacentral:rRNA from 1 species